CAGUCGCCACGGUAAUACCGAGGGUGCAAGCGUUAAUCGGAAUUACUGGGCGUAAAGCGCGCGUAGGUGGUUUGUUAAGUUGGAUGUGAAAUCCCCGGGCUCAACCUGGGAACUGCAUCCAAAACUGGCAAGCUAGAGUAUGGUAGAGGGUGGUGGAAUUUCCUGUGUAGCGGUGAAAUGCGUAGAUAUAGGAAGGAACACCAGUGGCGAAGGCGACCACCUGGACUGAUACUGACACUGAGGUGCGAAAGCGUGGGGAGCAAACAGGAUUAGAUACCCGAGUAGUCCCUGUCUCUUAUAA
rnacentral:rRNA from 1 species